AAGACUAUAGACCUGCGGAGUACCUGCGGAGGGAUCAUUAUAGAGUGGUAAACCCCCCGUAAAAGGGGGGGACCUCCUGUCCUUUGUAGGCUCUUUUUUAAAAGGGCUUUUUUUAAUUUUCUGCUUCGGUGGGGUUAUCCCACCGGAACAACCUCAAAACUCUUAUCAAAAAAUCGUUCUGUCUGAGAACCUUUUAUAAUAAAAAAAAACUUUCAACAAUGGAUCUCUAGAUCGGAAGAG
rnacentral:misc_RNA from 1 species